CGCAUACUCCCUCCGUUCCGAAUUACUUGUCUUGGAUUUGUCUAGAUACGGAUGUAUCUAGCACUAAAAUGAGUCUAGAUACAUCCGUAUCUAGACAAAUCUGAGACAAGUAAUUCGGAACGGAGGGAGUACAUG
rnacentral:pre_miRNA from 1 species